GUGCCAGACUCCUACGGGAGGCAGCAGUGGGGGAUAUUGCACAAUGGGGGGAACCCUGAUGCAGCGACGCCGCGUGGGUGAAGAAGUAUUUCGGUAUGUAAGGCCCUAUCGGCAGGGAAGAAUUUAGACGGUACCUGACUAAGAAGCCCCGGCUAAAUACGUGCCAGCAGCCGCGGUAAUACGUAGGGGGCAAGCGUUAUCCGGAUUCACUGGGUGUAAAGGGAGCGUAGACGGCCAUGCAAGCCUGGAGUGAAAGCCCGGGGCCCAACCCCGGGACUGCAUUUGGAACUGUGUGGCUGGAGCGUCGGAGAGGCAGGCGGAAUUCCUAGUGUAGCGGUGAAAUGCGUAGAUAUUAGGAGGAACACCAGUGGCGAAGGCGGCCUGCUGGACGAUGACUGACGUUGAGGCUCGAAAGCGUGGGGAGCAAACAGGAUUAGAUACCCUUGUA
rnacentral:rRNA from 1 species